UACGUAGGGGGCAAGCGUUGUCCGGAUUUAUUGGGCGUUAAAGAGCGUGUAGGCGGUUAGGUAGGUCCGUUGUGAAAACUCGAGGCUCAACCUCGAGACGCCGAUGGAAACCAUCUAACUAGAGUCCGGAAGAGGAGAGUGGAAUUCCUGGUGUAGCGGUGAAAUGCGCAGAUAUCAGGAAGAACACCCGCGGCUAAGGCGGCUCCUCUAGUACGGUACUGACGCUGAGACGCGAAAGCGUGGGGAGCAAACAGGG
rnacentral:rRNA from 1 species